GGGUCAGUGGUGAAGUGGUAUCACAUCUGAUUUGCAUUCAGAAGGCCCCGGGUUCAAUCCCCGGCUGAUCCA
rfam:Stentor coeruleus isolate WM001 SteCoe_contig_409, whole genome shotgun sequence.